UACGUAGGUGGCGAGCGUUAUCCGGAAUUAUUGGGCGUAAAGGGAGCGUAGGCGGAUGAUUAAGUGGGAUGUGAAAUACUCAGGCUCAACCUGGGGGCUGCAUUCCAAACUGGUUAUCUAGAGUGCAGGAGAGGAGAGUGGAAUUCCUAGUGUAGCGGUGAAAUGCGUAGAGAUUAGGAAGAACACCAGUGGCGAAGGCGACUCUCUGGACUGUAACUGACGCUGAGGCUCGAAAGCGUGGGGAGCGAAC
rnacentral:rRNA from 1 species